CCUGGGCGGCACUGAGCUGCGAACCCCGUCAGGUCCGGAAGGAAGCAGCGGUAAGCAGAUAUUGGUGGGUGCUCCAGGGAAGCCUGG
rnacentral:SRP_RNA from 1 species